UACGUAGGGACCAAGCGUUGUUCGGGUUUACUGGGCGUAAAGGGCUCGUAGGCGGCUUAACAAGUCACUUGUGAAAUCUCCGGGCUUAACUCGGAACGGCCAAGUGAAACUGUCAAGCUAGAGUGCAGAAGGGGCAAUCGGAAUUCUUGGUGUAGCGGUGAAAUGCGUAGAUAUCAAGAGGAACACCUGAGGUGAAGACGGGUUGCUGGGCUGACACUGACGCUGAGGCGCGAAAGCCAGGGGAGCAAACGGG
rnacentral:rRNA from 1 species